rnacentral:rRNA from 1 species
GAGGAAUAUUGGUCAAUGGACGGAAGUCUGAACCAGCCAAGUAGCGUGCAGGAUGACGGCCCUAUGGGUUGUAAACUGCUUUUGUAUGGGGAUAAAGUCAAUCACGUGUGAUUGUUUGCAGGUACCAUACGAAUAAGGACCGGCUAAUUCCGUGCCAGCAGCCGCGGUAAUACGGAAGGCCCAGGCGUUAUCCGGAUUUAUUGGGUUUAAAGGGAGCGUAGGCUGGAGAUUAAGUGUGUUGUGAAAUGUAGACGCUCAACGUCUGAAUUGCAGCGCAUACUGGUUUCCUUGAGUACGCACAACGUUGGCGGAAUUCGUCGUGUAGCGGUGAAAUGCUUAGAUAUGACGAAGAACUCCGAUUGCGAAGGCAGCUGACGGGAGCGCAACUGACGCUUAAGCUCGAAGGUGCGGGUAUCAAACAGGAUUAGAUACCCUGGUAGUCCGCACAGUAAACGAUGGAUGCCCGCUGUUGGUACCUGGUAUCAGCGGCUAAGCGAAAGCAUUAAGCAUCCCACCUGGGGAGUACGCUGGCAACGGUG